rnacentral:misc_RNA from 1 species
GCAGUUAAAAUAGUAAAUAUAUUAGGUUAUGUUUAGAAUAGGCUAAGAGAGAUUAACUAAUAUAUUUAUUAUGUAGUGUGAGUUCUCUUUGGUAUAAUUGAAAUGAUGAACAAUAUAGUUUUAAGCUUAUAAAUUGAUGAUUUAUUUAUUGAUGAUUAUAAAAGAUAAUAUAUCCAUUAAUAUAACUUUAUGUUAAAAAAGUAAACCACCUAAAUAUUA